GCUACUGUAGUUUAGUGGCAAAACUCCACGUUGUGGCCGUGGCGCCCCUGGUCCGAUUCCAGGCAGUAGCA
rnacentral:tRNA from 5 species